GAUUAUUCGGAUUUAGAUAAGAGAGUGAUUUCAGGGUUACAAUCUGAAGUAAGGGUGUUUUUGACAUCUCUCCUGUCUCUCUGCGGUUUGUGUAGCUGGGUGGUUUCAAAGAUCAGGUCAGAUUUGGAAAACAUGGUCAUGGUUAGGUGAGAGAUUGCACAGGGACCUCCUGUAAUGUUACCUGGGACAUAAGCAUAAGUAACAUUUACCUACAAUUUGUGGUAUUUUUCCACCAUGUAGGGCAAAACAGAACAUGCCCAAACCCGACUUCAAGAGGG